UACGUAGGGGGCUAGCGUUGUCCGGAAUCAUUGGGCGUAAAGAGCUCGUAGGCGGUGUGUCGCGUCGGCCGUGAAAACCUGGGGCUCAACUCUGGGCGUGCGGUCGAUACGGGCAUCACUGGAGUUCGGCAGGGGAGACUGGAAUUCCUGGUGUAGCGGUGAAAUGCGCAGGAUAUCAGGAGGAACACCGGUGGCGAAGGCGGGUCUCUGGGCCGAUACUGACGCUGAGGAGCGAAAACAUGGGUAGCGAACAGG
rnacentral:rRNA from 1 species